rnacentral:lncRNA from 1 species
UUGGAACAUCAGCCCGUAGGAACUGUGAUCAAAGUCGUGGGAUCUCAGGGAUAAGAUCAUACAAAGAGAAUGCAUAGGGAAAGAAGAGCAGAGAGUCCAAGGGGACCCCUGGGGAGAGAUGGGCAGAGUAGGAAAACCAUGAGAAGAAAGGAAAAGGGCACCCAUGAGGAGGGAAUGAGGAUCAGGAGAGAGUGGCUAACAUUCAGUGUCAAGCAUGGCUCAUAGAUAAUCUCAUGUGAUGCAUUCAAUAGCUCUAUGGCUAGAUCCAAUUAUGCUAAUUUUACAGAUAAGGGAACUGGAGCUCAUUGGGAUAUAGCAAUCUGAGGGUAAAAAGCCGGGUGCAAAAAAGCAUUCUAGGAUCCUUCUUUGGAAACUGGAAGUGCAUCUCUCGGAGCAUGCAGAAUGAGUGCCCCAGUACCCAAGGACCCCCUUUAGCUCCCUCCAAGGGCUGGCAACAAGCUCCAG